CAGUUUAUAUUUUAUUAAAAUUUAAAUUUUGGGGAUUUAAGAUAUAGUUUAAUUGCUAUUAUACUGA
rnacentral:tRNA from 1 species